UACGUAGGGUGCGAGCGUUGUCCGGAAUUAUUGGGCGUAAAGGGCUCGUAGGCGGUCUGUCGCGUCGAAAGUGAAAACUCAGGGCUUAACCCUGAGCCUGCUUCCGAUACGGGCAGACUAGAGGUAUGCAGGGGAGAACGGAAUUCCUGGUGUAGCGGUGAAAUGCGCAGAUAUCAGGAGGAACACCGGUGGCGAAGGCGGUUCUCUGGGCCUUACCUGACGCUGAGACGCGAAAGCGUGGGGAGCAAACAGG
rnacentral:rRNA from 1 species